rnacentral:rRNA from 1 species
GAUGAACGCUGGCGGCGUGCCUAAUACAUGCAAGUCGAGCGAACGGACGAGAAGCUUGCUUCUCUGAUGUUAGCGGCGGACGGGUGAGUAACACGUGGAUAACCUACCUAUAAGACUGGGAUAACUUCGGGAAACCGGAGCUAAUACCGGAUAAUAUUUUGAACCGCAUGGUUCAAAAGUGGAAGACGGUCUUGCUGUCACUUAUAGAUGGAUCCGCGCUGCAUUAGCUAGUUGGUAAGGUAACGGCUUACCAAGGCAACGAUGCAUAGCCGACCUGAGAGGGGGAUCGCCACCAAGGGAAGUGAAACCGGGUCAACCCUCCUAGGGGAGGCGCAAGAGGGGAAUCUCCCGAAAGGGGGAAAGGCCGGACGGACCAACGCGGGGGGAGUAAUGAAGUUUUAGGAAUCGAAAACCUUUGUUAUGGGGAAAAAAAAUUUUUGAAAGUACCUGUGCACUUCUGGGGGGUCCCUAAUAAAAAAGCAAGGACAAACUACGUC